rnacentral:tRNA from 1 species
AAAUGGUAAACCUUCCUCUUUAGA